CAUUGUUCAUUUUUGUACUUCAAUUAUUGCUUGUAUUUUUGGUAGGCUCAUUCCGAGGAGUUGAGGAAAUAAGCUGCUAGUUUAGCUUGGGAGAAUGACGACCUGAAAAAGGAAAAGGAGCAGGUCAAUCAGGAAUAUGAUGAUCUGAAGAACAUCAAUGAAAGCUUAAAAGUACAGAUCGGCAGAAGGGACACUGUGGAAGAAACCAAUGUAGAACCAAAGUCAACCCCCCCUAAGACAUCCUCUUCUCGAUCUGCCUGUCCUCCGCCUUUUCUAUAUAAUCAACAGCCAUUUUUUUGUCUCCUCUUAUUCAAUUACCAAAUGGGUCACAAAAUGGCAUCUCUGUUGGACCAACACUUCCAACUUAUAAUGUUUCUUCUGAACAAGAGAAUAAUGGUUCUGGAAUUGCAUUAUGUGUUUAUCCAUGUGCGUGGUUCAU